rnacentral:pre_miRNA from 1 species
UUUCUACUCCCUCCGUUCGGAAUUACUUGUCUCGGAAAUGGAUGUAUCUAGAACUAAAAUACAUCUAGAUACAUCCAUUUUCACGACAAGUAAUUCCGAACGGAAGGAGUACAUU